UCGGGUAUGGUGUAACGGCUAACAUUGCCGCCUCUCAUACGCUGGUGCGCGGCAGCUCGGGGUUCGAUUCCCCGUACCCGAA